rnacentral:rRNA from 1 species
GGGGGAUAUUGCGCAAUGGGGGCAACCCUGACGCAGCAACGCCGCGUGAAGGAUGAAGGUUUUCGGAUUGUAAACUUCUUUUAUUAAGGACGAAACUUGACGGUACUUAAUGAAUAAGCUCCGGCUAACUACGUGCCAGCAGCCGCGGUAAUACGUAGGGAGCAAGCGUUGUCCGGAUUUACUGGGUGUAAAGGGUGCGUAGGCGGCUUUGCAAGUCAGAUGUGAAAUCUAUGGGCUCAACCCAUAAACUGCAUUUGAAACUGUAGAGCUUGAGUGAAGUAGAGGCAGGCGGAAUUCCCCGUGUAGCGGUGAAAUGCGUAGAGAUGGGGAGGAACACCAGUGGCGAAGGCGGCCUGCUGGGCUUUAACUGACGCUGAGGCACGAAAGCGUGGGUAGCAAACAGGAUUAGAUACCCUGGUAGUCCACGCUGUAAACGAUGAUUACUAGGUGUGGGGGUCUGACCCCUUCCGUGCCGGAGUUAACACAAUAAGUAAUCCACCUGGGGAGUACGGCCGCAAGGUUGAAACUCAAAGGAAUUGACGGGGGCCCGCACAAGCAGUGGAGUAUGUGGUUUAAUUCGAAGCAACGCGAAGAACCUUACCAGGUCUUGACAUCCAACUAACGAAGUAGAGAUACAUUAGGUGCCCUUCGGGGAAAGUUGAGACAGGUGGUGCAUGGUUGUCGUCAGCUCGUGUCGUGAGAUGUUGGGUUAAGUCCCGCAACGAGCGCAACCCUUGCUAUUAGUUGCUACGCAAGAGCACUCUAAUAGGACUGCCGUUGACAAAACGGAGGAAGGUGGGGACGACGUCAAAUCAUCAUGCCCCUUAUGACCUGGGCUACACACGUACUACAAUGGAUGUUAACAGAGGGAAGCAAGACAGCGAUGUGGAGCAAACCCCUAAAAACAUUCUCAGUUCAGAUUGCAGGCUGCAACCCGCCUGCAUGAAGAUGGAAUUGCUAGUAAUCGCGGAUCAGCAUGCCGCGGUGAAUACGUUCCCG